AUUUUAUCUAAUGAGGAGUUUAGAAAACGUUUAUUGGGAAAAAUUUUGACUGAGCUGAAGUUCUAAAGAGUUAACUGUGUAAACAAGGGAAAAAGUGCAUUCCAGACAAAGAAAACACACAUUCUAAAUUCCUGUGAUGAGGAGCAGGGUGCAUUAGAGAAAACAAUAAGGCCCAGCGUGGUAAGGGUACAGUGCAUGCAAAAAGUGAAGAGGCGAUAAGUGUGAGAUGAGGAUAGAAGCCAUGGGGCUAUUGGCAAGAAGAAAAAUUUGAUGUGCGUUCUAAUUGUGAUUGGUACCAGAGGAAAGUUUUAAGCAGGGAAGUGACAGAAUAUGACUAGAUUUUAAUUUUCUCUUUUGCUUUGCAGUGAGGAGAGGAAGAGAAAGAAUUGGAAGAAGAGAGAUCAGUGCAGGGUGAAGAGUUCAUAAACCCAAGGAACAAGCUCAUUAAGAGUCUACAUUUCUGUUUUCAGGCCACAUUCCAGGGAUCUACACAUGUCUAUGGAAAAUUUCUCUCGUCUUGGGCAGAGCCAGUCAUGAGAAGAGAACAUGAAUGAACUGCAGGCUAGGGGAUAGCUUUCCCACAUACCAGCACAUUUUGGCAUGGCACUCAAAUGCGUCCAAGAAUUCUAUAUUUAAAUAUGGUCUUCAAAGUUGUUAGAAAAAUGUAUUUGUCAAGGUAGGAAGCUAGCAUCUUGUUUAACAGUUAGUCAACUUGAUUGACUUCUAAAUAUUUGAACGAAUAAUUUGUGGGCUUCUAUUUGUUAUCCUUGCCCUAGGCCCUACUGCUGUUAGAGACAAUGAACCUUUUCUGCCAGUGACUGUGCACAUAUAUGAUUUAAUUUAAGCCUCAUAACCAAACAUCCAGUGUGGCUAAGAUUUACUAAGCCAUUUUAAAUUUGUACAACACAGGAGAUUUUGAAGAACAAGUGUUAUUAACACUGUCAAGUACUGCAAAAGACUAGAAGAAAAAGGUGAUCAAAACAGGACACUGGACUUAACAAGAAAUCUUUAAACACAAUCUUCAAGGAUGGAGGUUUAGUGCAUUGGUGGAGUUCAAAGCUAGAUUGUAUAACAGGAAAAAAACAGUGGUGGAAAAAAAGAGACAUCAAGUUAAGGCUUCCCCUUGAAGUCAGGCAACAAAAAGAGGAAGUAUGAUGUCUGCCUAACACAGAGGAUGUAACCAUAGUGAAGACAGAGAACUGAACGUUAUUGUGAGGAGAAAAUGUGAUGACACUGGAGGAAAUGGAGGUGAAUAUCAGAAGAUAUAUCUCAGCAUGGUGUGAGAACGUUCAACAAACACUGAAUGCCUUAUCUGCUCUAGGUCAUGAAGUCUUUAGAGAUGUGCAAAUAAAUGGCAUGAUCCCAGAUCUCAGGCCAAAUGGGAAGUCUACAAGUUCUCACAAGUCAAGCAGGAAAAAUAACAAGUAACUAGAAAAUUACAGUAGCGGCUAAUGAAUGUUUUAAUGGGGAUAAGCAUGAGUAAAAGGGGAGUGAGCUGGUUUGUAAAUAGGCUACUCUAGCAAGGCAAUGCUGGUUAGUAAAAAGAUAAUAUAUUUGACAUUUUGCUAAAGAGUUGGGAAGUUGAGGAAACAGUUGUAGUGUGAUAGAACACUGAAUGGCCAAAUUUGCAAAGUUCUUACCCAACUUUACAAAUCCUGCUGGUGUAGAUAUACUACAAAGCAGAAGUGACAGGUUAAAUUUCAAGAUUAUUUUAUAUUUGUAUGCAUUCCCUCAACAAAUACUUACAAAUUAGGUCCUGCUGAGGGGAGGCUUGCCCUUUAGUGAGGCAAGGCAGGCUACAAAACAUUCAAAAACCAAAUGGUGUAAUCAAUGCCCUCAGAGGAGAGUGCAGGGAACUGUGGGAGCCCACAGAGACUUGAGGAGCCCUAAUACUUGCAUUUCUCCUUAUUCACAUAUGCUUCCCUGCUAAUGACCAGGUAAUCUGAGGCAAGUUUUCUCCCAGCUACACCCUGAAUUCUUUGAAAUAAACCCAAUACAGGUACUUGAGUGUAUUUCCUGAGUUGACCUCUGGGACGAUAGCUACUAGGCUGUGCCCUUAGUGCUACAUAGAUUACAUAAACUGGAGAGCUGCAAGAGUUAAGAAACUGAAUUCAGCUACCUCUUGGGGAGCUGAGUGACUAUUCUAAAGAGAGAUGAAGUGGAUAGAAAUUCCUGUAUUCAGAAUUAGUGAUCAGGGUUACAAAUCUGGAGCUGAGCUGUGAGUGUUAGGUUCCCUACCUAUAAAAUAGGGGUAACAGUCUUCACCCUACCUACUGCAGAGAUCUUUGUGGAUGUUGAGUGAAAUAAUUGGUGUGAAAGUAGUUUUCAAUGGUGUAAUUUAGGGCAUAUCAUUUCCUUGUUGAAAACCCUUCAGUGAGAAUAAUAUUACCUAAAAGGGGUUGUUUUUAGAUUCAGUGAAAAAGUAGGUGCCAAAAUAAGUGGACUUUACUGUUCCUACCCACUGGCCUGUCCUGCUAGCUCUACCUCCAAACCAUAUACUGAAUCUGAGUACUUCACUCCCUCUUCUCUACCACCUCCCAGGCCUACCCCUGCAGUAUUCCAACUGGUCCCUCCACUUGCAAUUUGCCCUUCUCCAACAUACAUUUUAAAAUAGCAGUUAAGGGUAAUAUUUCUUAAAAUCUUUCAAUACCUUCCCAAUGCAUUUAGAGCAAUAAUUAAGUUCUUUCCUAUGGUCUACAAAAUCCCACCUGUUAUAGUCCCUGACACAUUACUCUACCUUAUUCUUUUUCAAUGCUUGUAUUACCAUCGGAACUUCUUUUUUUUAUUUCUCGCCUAUAUACUUCUCUACAAUGUAAGCUUCACAAGGACAAAGACAAGCUGUGUCCCUGGAGCCUACCGAUGUCUGGUAAAUAAAUGUUUGUUGUGUUAUUAAAUGAAUAAAGAACUGAAUAAAUGUGCCUUCUUAUUACCUGAGAAAAUUAUACCCAUCUUUUAGACUGAAGCUAAAUGUCACCCCUUCUAUAAAUGUGCCCCUGAUUCUCCUGCUAAAAGUCAUCUCCCUUUGAGUCUUUAUGUUUAUGAUUAAGGGGUUGGAUUCCUUGCAUGAUUGUCUGAAUUUGUGUGCAGUCCUGACAUGCUAAAAAAUGCAACUUCAGAGGGUUCUGCUAGGGUCAUUUUACUGCAGCCAUUUUGCUAUUUCUUUUGGUAAUGUGAUAGGGACUCAUUUCUCUAAUAUUAUAGCUUAGGGUAAGCUUCCGCAAUCACUGAAUUUUUCUGGAUAAAGUAUAUUAGAAACUGCCAGCUUAAAUCUAAUAGAUAUCUAAUAUCUGGCACCCAGAAUUAGUUGCAUCCUCCAGUAGCCACUUGGUAUGAAUAUAGACCUGAAAUUAGCAAAUUGUUCAAAGAUUAGUCACUUGGAUAUUUCUAUCUUAAAAUUUGCAAUGAAGCUCUGUUUUAAAAGACACAAUUUUUCUACUGUUAGUCACAGUUUGUAAGUACAAUUCAUCCAUAGUUUUAGAGUGAGUUAAUAUUGCCUUUUGUCCUGAUUUUUAUUUUUCAUAAACUUUUAUUUUUAUUCAUUUUCUUCAGCUGGUAUUCUUCUUCACAUACUAGAAAGAGACAAAUAAGCCUAAAAUUACAGCAGGAAAAAAUGUACAAUUACAGCAUCUCAGAAGUGGAAAGAGUCUUAGAUCUAGUAGUGCAAUCUUCCACAAAAUAGAGGAAUCAUUUCAACAUUAUCCCUGUGAGAUGCGUCAUCCAACCUUUGCAUAUCUCUGGUGUUGAACAGCUCACUAUUUCCAAAAGCAGCUUCUUUCAUCUGAUGACAAUUCUUCCUUCUAUUGAGCUGAAACCAGCCUCCCUGUGGCUUUCACCUACAAGUCCCAGCUCUACCACCUGCAAACACACAGUCCCUGUCUUAGUCCAUUCAUGCUUCUAUCACAAUAUACCAUAGACUGGGUAAUUUAUAAAUGAAAUAAAUUUAUUUCUUACAGCUAUGGAACCUGGGAAGUAAAAUAUCCAGUUGCUGGCAUUUAGUUCCUAGUGAGGGCACUCUUGCUGCAUCCUCAUAUGGUGGAAGGGAUUUUUUAAGGCAAAAGGGGGAUAAAUGAUGUGCUCUCACAUAAUGAAGAGCAGAAGAGAACAAACCGACUCUCCCAAGCCCUUCCUUAAGAGCCCCAAUCUCAGCGAUAAGAGUUCUGCCCUCAUGACUUAAUUUUAUCGCCUAAAAGCUCUACCUUUUAAUACUAUCACAUUGGCCAUUAUGUUUUAGCACAUGAAUUUGGGAGGACACAUUCAGGCCACAGCAGACCUUGUCUUCUUCGUUACAAUGACAGCUCUUCGGAGGUCUGAAGACGGAGACCACAUUUCUGAACCUUCUCUUUCUUCUCUAGGCAUGCUGCUCCAGCUCCUUUCAACCACUAUUUAUGGAACCUGAAAUCCAGCUUUGUCUCCAGCCUACUUACUCCUAUCCAGUUAGUCUGUUUCUCCUUUAAAGUGCACAGUCAGGUUAGAAGAGAUCAGAACCAUCAUAACCCACUUUCAGCCAUUUUGGCUUAAGGCAAAGACAGACUGGAUGUUCAUUUAACAUGUUUUACUUUCCUGCUUGUCACGCACUUAACUACAUUUUCUAGCCUCUCUUGUUGCUGCGUAUAGCCAUUUAACUGAAUUCUAGGAAAUGGAAUAUAGGUAGAAGUGAUAAUUCACCACUUUUAGCCUUGGCAUGUAAAUACUUCCAUAUUUUUUCUAAUCUUCCAGCUGAGUAUUAACUCCCAUAAAGAUCUUGAGAGUCACACUUUGAGCAUGGCAGAACCUCCAGUCAGUCUGAAUCCCUCAGUAACUGUGUGAAGAUCAGUACCUUUCUCUGUCACCACUUAUUAAACUUUCUAUUGGUGAAAAAAAUUCACUGUGUUAAGUGACUGAGGUUUUAGAAUUAUGAUUCAAAGCAGUUGUUGUUACCUUAGCUAAACAAACACACAAUAGCUUUUAUAGCUACACUUUCCACUGCUGAGCUUUUCUGAAACACCUUCUUCCCUUACUUUUCCUCACAUACCAAUGCCACCCCAGAAUUUCCCAUUCUGUGCCUGUGCAAUUGUCAAGACCAAAUGGCAGCUUCACAUAAACCUCUCUUCAAUUCCAUCUGGUUCUACUCAAUCUACCAUUGUGUAGCCUGUGGACAUGUUCUGGGAUCCUGAGUGUAUUUUCUAAUUCAUUUAUUCUACACUCCCUGCCCCAGUUUUUUAUCAUCUGCAAUUGUUUUAUGCUAUUAAAGUCCUCACCAAAAAUUAUUAAUAAAAAUAUUGAGUCAGAGUUAAGGACCAACACCUGCAGCACACUUUAAAAAACCUCCAACUAGGUUGACAUAAUUGACUCUGCUUGGUUAUGAGGCUUUAGCCAUUCACAAAUCUUCGCUACACUGUCAAGUGCAUUCUUUCUCAAUCAUAUCAAUAGAAAUAUCCUUAGAUAUUUGCCAAACACUAGACCAAAAUUGAGAUACUCUCUAAACAACAGACUAUAUUAAACUUUUAGUCUGGUAAUCUGUGUAAUAAAACCAAUGACUUAAGUUCAGUGUAAAAUGCAUAGAGAGUGCAUUGCUGCCUCUUAUUGUUGAUCACUUACCUUUAUGAGAUUGCAAAACUGUCACAUAUCUAUAUUUCAAAAUUAAUUUAAAGUAAUUAAAACAUUGAUCUGGGACUGAAGAGAUCUGUAUUCUGGUUUGUCACCACUACCUGACUGUGCGACCAUAAACAAUUCCUUUCACUUCUGCAUCCAUAAGCUAUGAAAUAGAGUGGAUAUAAUAAAUAGCUUAUAAGGUCUCCUACAACUUUAGUUCUGCUUUCCGUCAAUCAAUUUGGUGUAUGUAGUACCAAAUAUGUUUGAGGGAUGUUUUUCAUUUUUAAUUUUACCUGUCAAUGGUAUUUUUCCAUAUUAUAAAAUAUUUACUAUAAAGGCUCUCUCAUGCUGGGGUUAAGGCAGGUAUCUGUGAACAUAGAUGAAUAAAAAGUACAUUUUUUACUUUUACUAACGUUUAACUGAAACUUAGCUCUCCCUUCAAUUAUGAAUGUAAGCAACAAAUCAGAAUAGUUUUGAUAAUGUCUGAGUUCUAUAGUCAGUAGAAAUUACAAAAUGGUCACAUCACACUACUGUUGUUGCACAUAUCUUGGAAUAUCAUGUUUGCUCAUCACUACUUUGAAAUUGUGGUGGUUAUUAAACCUAUAAUUAGAUCUUGCUAUUUAGUGCACUAAUAAAGAAAUAUAUGUAUAUUUCUUUAUCACAAACUUUGUUUUGUACAAUUUGAUAAGUACUUUUAAAUACAAUUUGUUUUCAUUGUAAUCUUCUAUAUUUUAUUUUAUCCAUUCAAAGUAUUAUUCUAAGAAGGGUCAGUACAUUAUAUCAGACUGCCAAAAGCAUCUAUGUUGCAAAGUAACUACAGAAAUGACCUACUAGGUUAAUGCUCAGUUCAUGCUAAGGAGAACAAAACAAAUGCUCAAAGGGAAUUAUACAAAAUAAAACAAAAUGGGCCAACGUUCAAAUUGCUUUUUGUUCAUCUUCCAAUGUUACCAAAUUUCUCACUUCUCCACCAGGACCUAAUUGUCUUCAUGAUGCCCAUGAGUGUCUUUACCCAGACAGGGUUGUGUACAGUAGACAUCUAUAAAAGAAAAGAAG
rnacentral:lncRNA from 10 species